rnacentral:rRNA from 1 species
ACAGCCAGGAUGUUGGCUUAGAAGCAGCCAUCAUUUAAAGAAAGCGUAAUAGCUCACUGGUCGAGUCGGCCUGCGCGGAAGAUGUAACGGGGCUAAACCAUGCACCGAAGCUGCGGCAGCGACGCUGAUGCGUUGUUGGGUAGGGGAGCGUUCUGUAAGCCUGUGAAGGUGUGCUGUGAGGCAUGCUGGAGGUAUCAGAAGUGCGAAUGCUGACAUAAGUAACGAUAAAGCGGGUGAAAAGCCCGCUCGCCGGAAGACCAAGGGUUCCUGUCCAACGUUAAUCGGGGCAGGGUGAGUCGACCCCUAAGGCGAGGCCGAAAGGCGUAGUCGAUGGGAAACAGGUUAAUAUUCCUGUACUUGGUGUUACUGCGAAGGGGGGACGGAGAAGGCUAUGUUGGCCGGGCGACGGUUGUCCCGGUUUAAGCGUGUAGGCUGGUUUUCCAGGCAAAUCCGGAAAACUAAGGCUGAGGCGUGAUGACGAGGCACUACGGUGCUGAAGCAACAAAUGCCCUGCUUCCAGGAAAAGCCUCUAAGCAUCAGGUAACAUCAAAUCGUACCCCAAACCGACACAGGUGGUCAGGUAGAGAAUACCAAGGCGCUUGAGAGAACUCGGGUGAAGGAACUAGGCAAAAUGGUGCCGUAACUUCGGGAGAAGGCACGCUGAUAUGUAGGUGAAGUCCCUCGCGGAUGGAGCUGAAAUCAGUCGAAGAUACCAGCUGGCUGCAACUGUUUAUUAAAAACACAGCACUGUGCAAACACGAAAGUGGACGUAUACGGUGUGACGCCUGCCCGGUGCCGGAAGGUUAAUUGAUGGGGUCAGCGCAAGCGAAGCUCUUGAUCGAAGCCCCGGUAAACGGCGGCCGUAACUAUAACGGUCCUAAGGUAGCGAAAUUCCUUGUCGGGUAAGUUCCGACCUGCACGAAUGGCGUAAUGAUGGCCAGGCUGUCUCCACCCGAGACUCAGUGAAAUUGAACUCGCUGUGAAGAUGCAGUGUACCCGCGGCAAGACGGAAAGACCCCGUGAACCUUUACUAUAGCUUGACACUGAACAUUGAGCCUUGAUGUGUAGGAUAGGUGGGAGGCUUUGAAGUGUGGACGCCAGUCUGCAUGGAGCCGACCUUGAAAUACCACCCUUUAAUGUUUGAUGUUCUAACGUUGACCCGUAAUCCGGGUUGCGGACAGUGUCUGGUGGGUAGUUUGACUGGGGCGGUCUCCUCCUAAAGAGUAACGGAGGAGCACGAAGGUUGGCUAAUCCUGGUCGGACAUCAGGAGGUUAGUGCAAUGGCAUAAGCCAGCUUGACUGCGAGCGUGACGGCGCGAGCAGGUGCGAAAGCAGGUCAUAGUGAUCCGGUGGUUCUGAAUGGAAGGGCCAUCGCUCAACGGAUAAAAGGUACUCCGGGGAUAACAGGCUGAUACCGCCCAAGAGUUCAUAUCGACGGCGGUGUUUGGCACCUCGAUGUCGGCUCAUCACAUCCUGGGGCUGAAGUAGGUCCCAAGGGUAUGGCUGUUCGCCAUUUAAAGUGGUACGCGAGCUGGGUUUAGAACGUCGUGAGACAGUUCGGUCCCUAUCUGCCGUGGGCGCUGGAGAACUGAGGGGGGCUGCUCCUAGUACGAGAGGACCGGAGUGGACGCAUCACUGGUGUUCGGGUUGUCAUGCCAAUGGCACUGCCCGGUAGCUAAAUGCGGAAGAGAUAAGUGCUGAAAGCAUCUAAGCACGAAACUUGCCCCGAGAUGAGUUCUCCCUGACUCCUUGAGAGUCCUGAAGGAACGUUGAAG